GACGAACGCUGGCGGCGUGCUUAACACAUGCAAGUCGAACGGUGACGAAUGGAGCUUGCUCUGUUCUGAUCAGUGGCGAACGGGUGAGUAACACGUGAGUAACCUGCCCCUGACUCUGGAAUAACUUCGGGAAACCGAAGCUAAUACCGGAUAUGACACAGAGCCGCAUGGUUUCUGUGUGGAAAGUUUUUCGGUUGGGAUGGACUCGCGGCCUAUCAGCUUGUUGGUGAGGUAAUGGCUCACCAAGGCGACGACGGGUAGCCGGCCUGAGAGGGCGACCGGCCACACUGGGACUGAGACACGGCCCAGACUCCUACGGGAGGCAGCAGUGGGGAAUAUUGCACAAUGGGCGAAAGCCUGAUGCAGCGACGCCGCGUGGA
rnacentral:rRNA from 1 species